rnacentral:rRNA from 1 species
UUGAACGCUGGCGGCAGGCCUAACACAUGCAAGUCGAGCGGUAGCACAGAGAGCUUGCUCUCGGGUGACGAGCGGCGGACGGGUGAGUAAUGUCUGGGAAACUGCCUGAUGGAGGGGGAUAACUACUGGAAACGGUAGCUAAUACCGCAUAACGUCGCAAGACCAAAGUGGGGGACCUUCGGGCCUCAUGCCAUCAGAUGAGCCCAGAUGGGAUUAGCUAGUAGGUGGGGUAACGGCUCACCUAGGCGACGAUCCCUAGCUGGUCUGAGAGGAUGACCAGCCACACUGGAACUGAGACACGGUCCAGACUCCUACGGGAGGCAGCAGUGGGGAAUAUUGCACAAUGGGCGCAAGCCUGAUGCAGCCAUGCCGCGUGUGUGAAGAAGGCCUUCGGGUUGUAAAGCACUUUCAGCGGGGAGGAAGGCGGUGAGGUUAAUAACCUCAUCGAUUGACGUUACCCGCAGAAGAAGCACCGGCUAACUCCGUGCCAGCAGCCGCGGUAAUACGGAGGGUGCAAGCGUUAAUCGGAAUUACUGGGCGUAAAGCGCACGCAGGCGGUCUGUCAAGUCGGAUGUGAAAUCCCCGGGCUCAACCUGGGAACUGCAUUCGAAACUGGCAGGCUAGAGUCUUGUAGAGGGGGGUAGAAUUCCAGGUGUAGCGGUGAAAUGCGUAGAGAUCUGGAGGAAUACCGGUGGCGAAGGCGGCCCCCUGGACAAAGACUGACGCUCAGGUGCGAAAGCGUGGGGAGCAAACAGGAUUAGAUACCCUGGUAGUCCACGCCGUAAACGAUGUCGAUUUGGAGGUUGUGCCCUUGAGGCGUGGCUUCCGGAGCUAACGCGUUAAAUCGACCGCCUGGGGAGUACGGCCGCAAGGUUAAAACUCAAAUGAAUUGACGGGGGCCCGCACAAGCGGUGGAGCAUGUGGUUUAAUUCGAUGCAACGCGAAGAACCUUACCUGGUCUUGACAUCCACAGAACUUUCCAGAGAUGGAUUGGUGCCUUCGGGAACUGUGAGACAGGUGCUGCAUGGCUGUCGUCAGCUCGUGUUGUGAAAUGUUGGGUUAAGUCCCGCAACGAGCGCAACCCUUAUCCUUUGUUGCCAGCGGUUAGGCCGGGAACUCAAAGGAGACUGCCAGUGAUAAACUGGAGGAAGGUGGGGAUGACGUCAAGUCAUCAUGGCCCUUACGACCAGGGCUACACACGUGCUACAAUGGCAUAUACAAAGAGAAGCGACCUCGCGAGAGCAAGCGGACCUCAUAAAGUAUGUCGUAGUCCGGAUUGGAGUCUGCAACUCGACUCCAUGAAGUCGGAAUCGCUAGUAAUCGUAGAUCAGAAUGCUACGGUGAAUACGUUCCCGGGCCUUGUACACACCGCCCGUCACACCAUGGGAGUGGGUUGCAAAAGAAGUAGGUAGCUUAACCUUCGGGAGGGCGCUUACCACUUUGUGAUUCAUGACUGGGGUG